rnacentral:lncRNA from 1 species
GGUUUCAUUUUAGUUACCGGAAAGUUUUGGGCAAUUCUGGCAGUGUACCGGGAGUGACGAAUGGGUUCCGGGAGUUCACCGGGAGGGGCCCACCCACCCGGGAGUGAGCACAAGGACCUAGGGUGGUGCCACAAGUCCUUAGUGGGCUGGUGGAAUCAGCCCAAGGAUCCCAUGGCGCCACAUAAAGAAAAUACCAAAAGAAAAGAAAAA